rnacentral:rRNA from 1 species
AUUGAACGCUGGCGGCAUGCUUUACACAUGCAAGUCGAACGGCAGCGCGGGCUUCGGCCUGGCGGCGAGUUGCGAACGGGUGAGUAAUACAUCGGAACGUGCCCAGUAGUGGGGGAUAGCUCGGCGAAAGCCGGAUUAAUACCGCAUACGACCUGAUGUUGAAAGCGGGGGAUCUUCGGACCUCGCGCUAUUGGAGCGGCCGAUGGCAGAUUAGCUAGUUGGUGUGGUAAAGGCCUACCAAGGCGACGAUCUGUAGCUGGUCUGAGAGGACGACCAGCCACACUGGGACUGAGACACGGCCCAGACUCCUACGGGAGGCAGCAGUGGGGAAUUUUGGACAAUGGGCGAAAGCCUGAUCCAGCAAUGCCGCGUGUGUGAUGAAGGCCUUCGGGUUGUAAAGCACUUUUGGCGGGAACGAAAAGGACUGUGCCAAUCCCACGGUUCGAUGACGGUACCCGCAGAAUAAGCACCGGCUAACUACGUG